rnacentral:tRNA from 1 species
UCCCUGGUGGCUCAGAUGGUAAAGAAUCUGCCUGUAAUGCAGGAGACCUGGGUUCAAUCCCUGGAUUGGGAA